CCUACGGGUGGCAGCAGUGAGGAAUAUUGGGCAAUGGGGGCAACCCUGACCCAGCCAUGCCGCGUGAGUGAAGAAGGUCUUCGGAUUGUAAAGCUCUUUUCUAAGGGAAGAAGAAAGUGACGGUACCUUAGGAAUAAGCCUCGGCUAACUACGUGCCAGCAGCCGCGGUAAUACGGAGGAGGCGAGCGUUAUCCGGAAUGACUGGGCGUAAAGGGUGCGUAGGUGGGUUGGCAAGUUAGUAGGGUAACUCCAAGGCUCAACCUUGGAACUACUACUAAAACUGUUGGACUUGAGUGCAGGAGGGGCAACCGGAAUUCCUAGUGUAGCGGUGGAAUGCGUAGAUAUUAGGAGGAACACCAGUGGCGAAGGCGGGUUGCUAGACUGUAACUGACACUGAGGCACGAAAGCGUGGGUAUCGAACAGGAUUAGAUACCCGUGUAGUC
rnacentral:rRNA from 1 species